rnacentral:rRNA from 1 species
UGCUCUGGAACCGGUCGCAAGAACCGUCUUCAUACCAGUCCAUGUCGACUUGACCACCACCAUGGUGACUGCCGUCGGCGAGAGCAAGCGAAGGGGAUUCCUGCAUACCAGGGGAGACAUCGAGCUUAUUUCCAAGGAUUCCAGCGCGCCUACUACCAGCAGCAGCGAGCCAACCGCCACCACCAACAAGAGCAUCUCCAGGAACCACCGAACGCGGCUCGGGCGCGCCGGCAGCAAAAUCCUCAUCGGCAUGACGCCAAUCUCCGGCACUAGGCCAAACUCCUCGGAAAAACUAGAGCUACACCUACUAGAUACUAUAGAGCACCGCGCACCUCCCCCAUCACCUCUCCAACCGGCGUCGCCGGCGGCGAAGAUCCGGGAUCGGGCCGGGCCUGAGCUGCUUUUGUUUUCGCCUCUCCCGAACAGUACCGAGGAAAGGAGAAGGAACGAGAAUAGCGGUAUCCACUGCCAAAAUUUU